rnacentral:rRNA from 1 species
UACGUAGGGUGCGAGCGUUAAUCGGAAUUACUGGGCGUAAAGGGUGCGCAGGCGGCUUCGCAAGUCAGGUGUGAAAUCCCCGGGCUUAACCUGGGAAUGGCGCUUGAAACUACGGAGCUGGAGUAUGGCAGAGGGAGGUGGAAUUCCACGUGUAGCGGUGAAAUGCGUAGAGAUGUGGAGGAACACCGAUGGCGAAGGCAGCCUCCUGGGCCAAUACUGACGCUCAUGCACGAAAGCGUGGGGAGCAAACAGG